CUCCAAGAAGCUUUCUACGUAGCAUUAGCCUUUUAAGCUAAAGAAGGAGACCAUCGCCCCUCCCUUAGAGA
rnacentral:tRNA from 1 species